rnacentral:rRNA from 1 species
AUUGAACGCUGGCGGCAUGCCUUACACAUGCAAGUCGAACGGUAACAGGCCGCAAGGUGCUGACGAGUGGCGAACGGGUGAGUAAUGCAUCGGAACGUGCCCAGUCGUGGGGGAUAACUGCUCGAAAGAGCAGCUAAUACCGCAUACGACCUGAGGGUGAAAGCGGGGGACCGUAAGGCCUCGCGCGCUUGGAGCGGCCGAUGUCAGAUUAGCUAGUUGGUGGGGGAAAGGCCUACCAAGGCAACGAUCUGUAGUUGGUCUGAGAGGACGACCAGCCACACUGGGACUGAGACACGGCCCAGACUCCUACGGGAGGCAGCAGUGGGGAAUUUUGGACAAUGGGCGCAAGCCUGAUCCAGCAAUGCCGCGUGCAGGAAGAAGGCCUUCGGGUUGUAAACUGCUUUUGUCAGGGAAGAAAUCCUCUGGGUUAAUACCUCGGGGGGAUGACGGUACCUGAAGAAUAAGCACCGGCUAACUACGUGCCAGCCGCCGCCGUAAAAC